rnacentral:rRNA from 1 species
UACGUAGGGGGCAAGCGUUGUCCGGAUUCAUUGGGCGUAAAGAGCGUGUAGGCGGCCAGAUAGGUCAGCUGUGAAAACUCGAGGCUCAACCUCGAGACGUCGGUUGAAACCAUCUGGCUAGAGUCCGGAAGAGGAGUGUGGAAUUCCCGGUGUAGCGGUGAAAUGCGCAGAUAUCGGGAAGAACACCCGUGGCGAAGGCGGCACUCUGGGCCGAUACUGACGCUGAGGAGCGAAAGCAUGGGUAGCGAACAGG